rnacentral:rRNA from 1 species
UACGAAGGGGGGCUAGCGUUGUUCGGAAUUACUGGGCGUAAAGCGCACGUAGGCGGAUUGGCAAGUCAGGGGUGAAAUCCCGGGGCUCAACCUCGGAACUGCCUUUGAUACUGCCAGUCUAGAGUCCGGAAGAGGUGGGUGGAAUUCCUAGUGUAGAGGUGAAAUUCGCAGAUAUUAGGAAGAACACCGGUGGCGAAGGCGGCUCUCUGGACCGAUACUGACGCUGAGGCGGCGAAAGCGCGGGGAGCAAAC